AUUGAACGCUGGCGGCGGGCCUAACACAUGCAAGUCGAACGAGAGGCGGACGGGUGAGUAAGGUCUGGGAAACUGCCUGAUGGAGGGGGAUGACGACGGGAAACGGUAGAUAAUAGCGCAUACCAUCGGAUGUGCCCAGAUGGGAUUAGCUAGUAGGGGGGGUAACGGCUCACCGAGGCGAAGAUCCCUAGCUGGGCUGAGAGGAUGACCGGCCACACUGGAACUGAGACACGGUCCAGACUCCUACGGGAGGCAGCAGUGGGGAAUCUUGGACAAUGGGCGAAAGCCUGAUACAGCCAUGCCGCGUGUAUGAAGAAGGCUUUCGGGUUGUAAAGUACUUUCAGCGGGGAGGCGUUACCCGCAGAAGAAGCACCGGCUAACUCCGUGCCAGCAGCCGCGGUAGUUC
rnacentral:rRNA from 1 species